rnacentral:sRNA from 1 species
AUUCUUGGUCAUUUAGAGGAAGUAAAAGUCGUAACAAGGUUUCCGUAGGUGAACCUGCGGAAGGAUCAUUAUUGAAUGAAUCGGGGAACUGUUGCUGGCCCGUCAAAGGGCAUGUGCACGCUCCCCAAUUUUCCUUCUCCACCUGUGCACCCUUUGUAGACUUUGGAAGACCUCUCGAGGCAACUCGGAUGGAGGGUCGCUGAUUCGUUUCWGCUUCCCUUGCGCUUCCAGGUCUAUGCAUUUUUAUACACACUUUAAAUGUCUCAGAAUGUCUUUCAUGGCUUGCUGUAAAAAGCAAAGCUUUAAACUUAAUACAACUUUCAACAACGGAUCUCUUGGCUCUCGCAUCGAUGAAGAACGCAGCGAAAUGCGAUAAGUAAUGUGAAUUGCAGAAUUCAGUGAAUCAUCGAAUCUUUGAACGCACCUUGCGCUCCUUGGUAUUCCGAGGAGCAUGCCUGUUUGAGUGUCAUUAAAUUCUCAACCUCUCCAGCUUUUUUGGCUGGGUGAGGAUUGGAUGUGGGGGUGUGCUGGCUUCGUCAAAGAGGUCGGCUCCCCUUAAAUGCAUUAGCGGGAACGUCUUGCGGACCGUCACUUGGUGUGAUAAUUAUCUACGCCUCAUGACUGCGAUGCUCUUGUUCUGCUUCUAACCGUCCAUUGACUUGGACAAGCUUUUUGACAAUUUGACCUCAAAUCAGGUAGGACUACCCGCUGAACUUAAGCAUAUCAAUAAGCGGAGGAAAAGAAACUAACAAGGAUUCCCCUAGUAACUGCGAGUGAAGCGGGAAAAGCUCAAAUUUAGAAUCUGGCGGUCUUUGGCUGUCCGAGUUGUAAUUUAGAGAAGUGUUAUCCGCGCUGGACCGUGUACAAGUCUCCUGGAAU